CAGUAGCCGCGGGAAUACGUAGGUGGCGAGCGUUGUCCGGAAUCAUUGGGCGUAAAGGGAGCGCAGGCGGGCAUGUAAGUCUUUCUUAAAAGUUCGGGGCUCAACCCCGUGAUGGGAAAGAAACUACAUGUCUUGAGUACAGGAGAGGAAAGCGGAAUUCCCAGUGUAGCGGUGAAAUGCGUAGAUAUUGGGAGGAACACCAGUGGCGAAGGCGGCUUUCUGGACUGCAACUGACGCUGAGGCUCGAGAGCCAGAGGAGCGAACGGGAUUAGAUACCCCCGUAGUCCCUGUCUCUUAUACA
rnacentral:rRNA from 1 species